rnacentral:rRNA from 1 species
CCCAGUAAACGGCGGCCGUAACUAUAACGGUCCUAAGGUAGCGAAAUUCCUUGUCGGGUAAGUUCCGACCCGCACGAAAGGCGUAACGAUUUGGGCACUGUCUCAACGAGAGACUCGGUGAAAUCAUAGUACCUGUGAAGAUGCAGGUUACCCGCGACAGGACGGAAAGACCCCGUGGAGCUUUACUGUAGCCUGAUAUUGAAAUUCGGCACAGCUUGUACAGGAUAGGUAGGAGCCUUUGAAACGUGAGCGCUAGCUUACGUGGAGGCGCUGGUGGGAUACUACCCUAGCUGUGUUGGCUUUCUAACCCGCACCACUUAUCGUGGUGGGAGACAGUGUCAGGCGGGCAGUUUGACUGGGGCGGUCGCCUCCUAAAAGGUAACGGAGGCGCUCAAAGGUUCCCUCAGAAUGGUUGGAAAUCAUUCAUAGAGUGUAAAGGCAUAAGGGAGCUUGACUGCGAGACCUACAAGUCGAGCAGGGUCGAAAGACGGACUUAGUGAUCCGGUGGUUCCGCAUGGAAGGGCCAUCGCUCAACGGAUAAAAGCUACCCCGGGGAUAACAGGCUUAUCUCCCCCAAGAGUUCACAUCGACGGGGAGGUUUGGCACCUCGAUGUCGGCUCAUCGCAUCCUGGGGCUGUAGUCGGUCCCAAGGGUUGGGCUGUUCGCCCAUUAAAGCGGUACGCGAGCUGGGUUCAGAACGUCGUGAGACAGUUCGGUCCCUAUCCGUCGUGGGCGUAGGAAAUUUGAGAGGAGCUGUCCUUAGUACGAGAGGACCGGGAUGGACAUACCUCUGGUGUACCAGUUGUCGUGCCAACGGCAUAGCUGGGUAGCUAUGUGUGGACGGGAUAAGUGCUGAAAGCAUCUAAGC